rnacentral:rRNA from 1 species
UGGGGAAUCUUGCGCAAUGGCCGAAAGACUGACGCAGCGACGCCGCGUGGAGGAUGACGCCCUUCGGGGUGUAAACUCCUGUUGCCCGGGACGAAUACCCGUUUCGACGGGGGUGACGGUACCGGGUGAGGAAGCACCGGCUAACUCUGUGCCAGCAGCCGCGGUAAUACAGAGGGUGCGAGCGUUGUCCGGAAUCACUGGGCGUAAAGGGCGCGUAGGCGGCUGGGUAAGCGUGUGGUGAAAGCCCGGGGCUCAACCCCGGGUCGGCCAUGCGAACUGGCCAGCUGGAGCACGGUAGAGGCACAUGGAAUUCCGGGUGUAGCGGUGGAAUGCGUAGAGAUCCGGAAGAACACCGGUGGCGAAGGCGGUGUGCUGGGCCGUGGCUGACGCUGAGGCGCGACAGCGUGGGGAGCAAACA